ACCUCAAUAUUUUGGAAGAUUUCAGGCCAUUAUUUUGUAGAAUCUCCCUCAGUUUGGGUUUGUGUGAUAUUUCCAUUGACUGGCAAGUUCAUUUGGCCAGGAAUAUAACAGAAGUGGUGCCAUGCUCCUCUCAUAAUGUCAAUUUGUCCCAUUACUGGUGAUAUUCACUUUGACCUCUGGUCAGAAUCAGGCAAAUGUGCAUAAAACAAUAAACUGGAGGUUAAAUGUCACCAUUCCAAGUAUGAGAGUUACUUUUGCUCCAGCUCUAUACAAGAAAAUGAAAAAAAAACAAACAAACAGAAAAAAAGAACAGCCCAAGAAAAUGUUUUACUGGGGGCAACUAGAUUUUCUUACUUUAAUAAUUUUCUUGUUUGUAAUUUGGAAGAUAAUAUUUUUUCCGUCUUUUAAUAGAACAGGGUGUGUUAUGGUUGACACAUUCAGGAAGUAUCAAGUUUUCUGUUAAAGAGAUUAUAAAACAUGUUUAUGUAAUAUCCAAUCAUGAGUUUGUUGUGGUCAUGUUUCUACUGCUUACCUCGUAAUCUAUCUGCAUGAAUCAACUUUGCCCUCCAGAGCUGCCCAGUGUAACCCAAACAUUAAUGGUGCACAAGUUGUAAGUGGGUCGACUUAAUGCUGGAAAUUUGAACUCUGGGGAAGCUGUUUCAAAAGGAUGAGGCACUUUGUGGAAACAAAGCAGAUGGGUUACAGAAUGCUCAGAAUCCACUGAGGGAGGAACUGCACUAUAAUCCAUAUAGUAGGGGCAUGGAGCAUCACUCUGCUUAUAGGACCCAGUGCUGUUUUAAGGCCACAUCAUAGGCAACAAAUGAUUUAAAUUUAAAUGAUAUAAAACAUCAAUGAAAGUAGCUAAAAUCUCUAAAUAUGAUUUUUCAUCCACUUUAUAUACCACUGAAACAAUCUCUGUCAUGCAUAUCAAAGAAUAUUAUUGUUUUUACUUGCAUAAAUGGCCUAAACCAAUAGGACCAAUAGACAGUUAUGAGGAUCUUUUUGGUAAAUUCCAGUAGUUUCUUCUAACAGGCCAGUAGGUGUUAUUUGAUCCAAACCAGUCGAGUGUGUCACAAUCCAAGCGAGUCACAGAACAAAGAGGUCAAACAGAACACACGUGGGUGAGUGGGCAGCCACAGGCACCCGCUGUGACUGGACAUCUGGACGCCUCCCUUUCCUGCGACGACUGAAACCAGGCACCUUCCAGGAAAGGCCAAGUCAGGACUGGACGUAUUCACAAAUUCACAGCAGGAUUUUAUAGGUGAUAUUUGAGUUGGAUGAAGCAAGAAGAACCUACAUGGAGUGGAGAGACCCAGGCCUCAGAGGCCCCAGAACUGAGCAGAAAGAAAGCAGCCCAGCGAGGCCCCUGGGCCAGAUGCCUGGGGACACAGCCAGGCGUCCACUCCCCCACGUGACCUCCGUGCCUGGGCCUCUUCCUAAAUUCACAUCCGGGCUGCAGUGCCCAGCUUCUGCGAGAGAGGGCAGGGCUUUGCUACAACCACAUUUUACACAUAGCAACCAACGGGAACCUCAGCGGCUAAGGUACGCAGAUCUGACCUGAAGAGACGCACAUACCUUCCACUUUAUAGCUGCCCUCCUGCCUUCUCCUCAGGCAGUGUAAUGAAGAGGAGGAAUCUAACUUCCCUGAGGGCUCCCUUAAAUGGCUGGAUAACAAUCCAAAAAUGCAGGGGAAUUAAAAUCUUUCAAGGGAUUAGAGCACAGGAGAAGAUCUUUCUCCAGUGCCCCUUCCUCCCACCUCCCCACUCAAUGAAUUGUUUCAAAGUGACAGGCAGGAUGCAGCAACUACUGUUCCCUUGUGCAGCUAUGACCAGCUGUCUAACACGCCACCCAUUAUUCGCAUUCCUUCCGGUCCUGCCUCACUUCUCCUUCCCCCUGGACUGUCUACCCUUGGGAUUGCACCUCCCAACAAAGCCUAAACCAUAAUCUUUGCCUCGGGUUUUAUUCUGUAAAGAAUCUGGCUAAGACAAGUUUUGUUGUUUUUUUUUUUCUUCAAUGUUCUCCCUCCAGUUUGGCUUCUUGCCUACAGUCCAUUUCCUUUUUAGUAAGACGGAGGAAUGAAGAUCUUUAAUUCUUGUUAAGGUUAACCAGAAGUGUGUCUAGGUUAGGAAUCUCUUUCCUGAGUCUCAUCUGAUUCUCCAGUGCAUUUAAUCUCACAGUAUGGUUGGAUAAUGUCUGCGGGUGUGGCACGGUGACAUCGUACAUGCUUAGCACACAUGAGGCACUGGGUUCAAUCUUCAUUACCGAAAGAAAAAAAUAAAACUGGAUGCUAGUAUUUUCUUUUUCCUUUAGGUAUUUCCAAACUGCUUGCUGACCUUCAUCUUACUAUCUGUGUUGCUAUCCUCCGUCUUCCUGGUAUCCUUGACACCUAUUUUGCAUUCGUGGAAUUCCAGAAAUGUACCUAAGAUAAAGUCAGAUCAAACAGAUAUCUCACAACCUUUGGAUUCAAGAUGUUCCAUUUUGUGGAAAAUGUGUAACUGUUAAUCAGCAGCGGAGGAGUGUCCUCUGCCAAGCGCCAUGUGGUAUUCCCGGAUUGUAAACAGACACUAUACACCAGCGGGGAGACAGAAAGAGGAGCCCCAAGAUUUUUCCACUUCUUUCUUUAAUGGGCCAGAUAGUAUCUUGUUAUGGAGGGGUGUGGAAGAGGAGAAUGCUUUUUAGAUGCUUUGUCUUUUUACUCUUUCUGCUCAAUGCAAAAGUCAGAACCUUUAAUGCCAGACAGAAUAUUCAAGCUGCCAUUUUAAUGAGUAAGAAUUCUUCAGGAAGUUCACACAGCUAAUCCAUAGGUGAAAUCCACCGGGAGUAACUUCUGGGAUUACAAUAAAACAGAAAAACCCAGGGGCUCUUUGACCCUGAGCCAUCAUCCUAAGAAGAGAGGAUGGUUUCAUUACAUUUUGAGAUUUAGAAUGAGCUGAGAAGACAAAGUUAGACAUCAAUAAAUUAUGUUUCACAGUACGCGUUCACAUAAUCCAGUGGCUCUGCUUUUUCUUUUUUCUGUGUGAAGCUAAUACUUGAUUAAGGGUAUUUAAUUUCACUGGCUAUAAUGAACUUAAUAUUAUGGUUGAAAAAUAAGAUUUAAAAAUAGGUUACAAAGUCACCUUAAAAAUGGGUAAGGAAUAGUCAAGCCAUAGAAAAAGAAAUUCAAACAGGUUCAAACCUACAAAAAAUCCUUAGUUGGAUCCUUAACAAGAAGCACAAAGUUACCAUGAGAUAACAAUAUCCAUCUGUCAGAUUAGAAAAGUAUGUUUUGUUUUUUUUUAAGACAGGGUCUCGAUUUGUAGUUUAGUCUGGCCUUGAACUCACCACGGAGCCCAGACAGGCCUCAAGCUUACAGUGAUCCUCCAGUCUCAGCCUCCUGAGACUGGAGGUGUGUGCACAGGGUUUUCAAGCUUACUCUAUCAGUGUAUGGAGAAACAAAUUACUGGUGGGAAUGAAAACUAUUAUAAUAUUCUGAGAGGGCAUUUGGAUGAGACCUAUUGAAAUUAUAAACUCACACCUGACUAAACAAUUCCACUUUUAAGAAUUUAUCAUUUAGAUGAUACUCACAUAAGAAACAGGUAUGUACUAGGAGGCUGAGACAGGAGGAUUCUGAGUUUGAGCACAACCUGGGUAAUUUAGACUCUGUCUUAAAAUAAAAAAUACAAAGGAACUGGAAUUGUAGGUCAGUGUAAAGGCUCUAUGUUCAAUCCAUAGUACAGGGAACAAAAAAAGAUGGGAGAAUGUGUAAAUGUAUAUUUGUUGCUGUUAUUGUUUCCAGGAAUGUUGAGCAAACUCAAUAUCAAGCAAUACAUAGACUGUAUAAUGUAGAAUAUUAUAUAGCCAUUAAAAAGAAUGUAGAAGCAAAAUUUUAAAAAAAGAAUGUAGAAGCUUUGUGUUUUGUUAUGAUCCCAUCUCCAAAAUUUAAGUGAAAAAUCAAAUUGCAUUCCUAUAUGUUUAGCCUGCUAUAAUUAUGUAAUAAUAUCAUCUCCAUAAAUGCAUAUGCCUUGUGUUUGUGUAGACUCUCUGGACAGAUGCACUAGGAAGCUAGUUAACAGUGGUUAUAUUGAAGGAGAACUAUGUGGUCAGCAGGUACUUUUACUAUAUGUCAUUUCCUUCUUUUUUCAUUUUAUUUUAUGCACAAGUAUCACUGUUCUGCCCCACAUCAGUAAUGGUUUAUUUUAUUAAAGUUUUAUUUUACCUUUAAUUGGCACCUCAUAAUUACAUAUAUUUAUGGGCCACACUGUGAUUUUUGAUAGCUUCUACCUUCGAUAUUGGUUAAAGCAGAGUAAUUAGUAUUUCUACCCCCUCAAACAUUUAUCAUGUCUUUGUGGCAAGAACAUUCAAAAUCCUUUCUUUUAGCUAUUUUGAAAACGAUGCUUUUUUGAAGAAGAGGAAAUCAGUAUAAUAAAUGCAGGUGUCUGAAAUGGGGCUUUUAUCUAAUUUGUGAGUAAGUACUCUGUAGUGUACAAAAUCUGAGAGCAGCAGACAUUUCCUUGGAAGCGAAUAAAGUCACCUUUCACGAUUAAAUCAGAAAUUAGAAUUAUUCAUUGGCAGCCCCCUUUACUUUAUAAUAAAUGGAUAAAUCUUUGUUGCCUUCUUUUCAUAACUAACUGACUCUUCCUUGUUAGCACAACCAUGUUUCUACUUGUUUUCCUGGAGCUCUUUGCAGUCAUCUAACCAGUCCAUGGAAAAGUUUCCACAAAUGCAGGCUGUGGUCUGUGAUCCUCACACUGUCCUUAAAAUAAGGACUAAUUCGUGGAAGGAUUAAAAAGGCUAAUUCUUCUGGGCUUUGUAAUCUCUGCUUUGUGACAAAUUUCAUCAGUAAGUUUUCCAAGAAACUCACAAUAUCAGGAAACAAAUGAAUCAAAACAAUUUACUGCAAUACCUAAAAUGUACCAAUGAUUCGAAUGAACAAUCGAUAAUGCAAAAUAGGAAGAAAA